UACGAAGGGAGCUAGCGUUGUUCGGAAUCACUGGGCGUAAAGCGCACGUAGGCGGAUGUGUCAGUCAGGGGUGAAAUCCCGGAGCUCAACUUCGGAGCUGCCUUUGAUACAGCACAUCUGGAGUCCGGAAGAGGUGGGUGGAAUUCCUAGUGUAGAGGUGAAAUUCGUAGAUAUUAGGAAGAACACCGGUGGCGAAGGCGGCCCACUGGUCCGGUACUGACGCUGAGGUGCGAAAGCGUGGGGAGCAAACAGG
rnacentral:rRNA from 1 species